AUUGAACGCUGGCGGCAUGCCUUACACAUGCAAGUCGAACGGCAGCACGGGUGCUUGCCCCUGGUGGCGAGUGGCGAACGGGUGAGUAAUACAUCGGAACAUGUCCUGUAGUGGGGUAUAGCCCGGCGAAAGCCGGAUUAAUACCGCAUACGAUCUACGGAUGAAAGCGGGGGACCUUCGGGCCUCGCGCUAUAGGGUUGGCCGAUGGCUGAUUAGCUAGUUGGUGGGGUAAAGGCCUACCAAGGCGACGAUCAGUAGAUGGUCUGAGAGGACGACCAGCCACACUGGGACUGAGACACGGCCCAGACUCCUACGGGAGGCAGCAGUGGGGAAUUUUGGACAAUGGGCGAAAGCCUGAUCCAGCAAUGCCGCGUGUGUGAAGAAGGCCUUCGGGUUGUAAAGCACUUUUGUCCGGAAAGAAAUACUUGGCUCUAAUACAGUCGGGGGAUGACGGUACCGGAAGAAUAAGCACCGGCUAACUACGUG
rnacentral:rRNA from 1 species